UUGACUGCAUACAUACAUACCGCAGGCCCAUAAUUUAUUUUAAAACACUGUUCCACCAUGAUAGGACAAUAAAUAAAUAAGACAUAUAAUUCAUUAUAAAAAGUAUUUCCAUCAUCUGAACAACACUGAAAGCUCCCUCACACCCCGCUCACAGCAAUACAUUGGUUCUGAGAUAUGAAACCAUUUCCUUUCUCACUCAACGCCACACUUUCCCCCCCCAAAAAACCCACACCACACCAUCCACACAUACUGUGCCUUCUGUUCACUGAGUUUUAAUCUUCACCGUGUUGAAUUAGUGCUUUUGUGUUCCACUUAGUUAUAUUUGAAGAUGUAUAGAAAAGCUAUAUUUUUUAUUGUAUUAUUACAAUCCAUAACCGGGAUAGAAUUGUGUUUCAUUAUUUUCCUCAUCUAUAAGAAAUUUAUACUUGCAAUUUCCUUUGGAAACUGGUCAUUCAUGGCAAUUUCGGUCCCAGCAAGUCUUUUACCCAGGCUUUAAACCAUUAUUUUAUCUUUAAAUUAAGCAAAUUUGGCAACGAUUGGGUGUUCAUACCUCUGCCCUCUUUGUCCGAAUAGGUGUACACGUUCGAGUUGGAUUUUGUCGAUAGCUUCGCGUGGAAUCUAAAGCGCUGUAAGGAAGAACUCUCUAACUACAGAUUCAGGAACUUCUUUCUCUUGGAUACCUGCUAUGAGAAUCAUCCAUCUGAAGCUUAAGCAAUAUCCCUGGACCCAAGGACUGUACCUGAAACGAUACAAGAUCACAGAUGAAGUGUUCAUUAGAGAAGUCCUUAUCAACUAGUGGAACGGAAGAAAAAUUAGAAUGGAAGAAUUCCUCACUAUCGGCAGAAUGUCAGAACAUAAUUUCUAACAGUUAUCUAUGUGGGACUGAUGCCAGUGUGGAAGAGAUGAUCACUUAAAAGACUUGGUGAAUGAAUACCUUGCCAAUAGGACGUUUGAAUAUUAUUGUCUUGACAAUAAUUUUGUGUGCGAGUUUCCUUCUAAUACAGGAUGUGGUAGGGACAUCAUCAUUACACCUGUUAAUACUUAUUUUCUAUAACUUUGUUAGAAAUAUAUUUCUUAUUGUAACAGCAAGUAAAAUAUUCCCUUUGUGUUUUAUAGAAAUGCAAGGUGUUUAAUGUGAAUGAUUUUAUGCCAUUUGAUUUUUUCAUGUUUUCUAUUGUUUUCGAAAUAUACAUUGCAAGUAUAUUUCUUUUUAAAAUUGUCUAGGGACUGUAAGAAUAUGUCGAAGAUAAAUACACAACGCAGAGGAUGAGAGGACUAGAAUUAACGAUCAAUGGAAAUAGUUGUUUAUCAGUUUCAACAUCUGUUUAGAAUCUGUUAGGAAAGUCAGUCCUGAACUCAAAGCUACGUGUGCUAUGUUUUCAUUUGUCUGAGUUUAGAGCAGGAUACUUUUUAUUUGGCCAUUGGCCCAGUUGUACUGCAAGGACUUCUAAUUGGUCAGCCACAGGCUAGGGUGGUGGGUUAUAAAUGACAUAUAAAAUUAUUAUUUUUUCUGGGGAGAGAAUCACUGAGGACAGGGGAGCAUGAAUAUCUACCAUCUACCUCCCUGCAUGAUUCGUCCUCUUUGAAUAAGAAUAAACCCAUUUUCCUCCCCCUGA